rnacentral:rRNA from 1 species
AACGAACGCUGGCGGCGCGCCUAAUACAUGCAAGUCGAGCGAGAAGACGUAGCAAUACGUUUGUAAAGCGGCGAACGGGUGAGGAAUACAUGGGUAACCUACCCUCGAGUGGGGAAUAACUAGCCGAAAGGUUAGCUAACACCGCGUACGCUCCUUGGACUUCGGUUCAGGGCGGAAAGCGAUACCGUGGGUAUCGCGCUCUUGGAUGGGCUCAUGUCCUAUCAGCUUGUUGGGAGGUAACGGCUCACCAAGGCUUCGACGGGUAGCUGGUCUGAGAGGACGAUCAGCCACACUGGCACUGCGACACGGGCCAGACUCCUACGGGAGGCAGCAGUAAGGAAUACUGCGCAAUGGGCGAAAGCCUGACGCAGCGACGCCGCGUGGGGGA